rnacentral:rRNA from 1 species
GACGAACGCUGGCGGCGUGCCUAAUACAUGCAAGUCGAACGCAUUUUCUUUCACCGUAGCUUGCUACACCGAAAGAAAAUGAGUGGCGAACGGGUGAGUAACACGUGGGUAACCUGCCCAUCAGCGGGGGAUAACACUUGGAAACAGGUGCUAAUACCGCAUAAUUCCAUUUACCGCAUGGUAGAUGGAUGAAAGGCGCUUUUGCGUCACUGAUGGAUGGACCCGCGGUGCAUUAGCUAGUUGGUGGGGUAACGGCCUACCAAGGCUGCGAUGCAUAGCCGACCUGAGAGGGUGAUCGGCCACACUGGGGCUGAGACACGGCCCAGACUCCUACGGGAGGCAGCAGUAGGGAAUCUUCGGCAAUGGACGCAAGUCUGACCGAGCAACGCCGCGUGAGUGAAGAAGGUUUUCGGAUCGUAAAACUCUGUUGUUAGAGAAGAACAAGGAUGAGAGUGGAAAGUUCAUCCCUUGACGGUAUCCAACCAGAAAGCCACGGCUAACUACGUG